rnacentral:rRNA from 1 species
CGGCGGACGGGUGAGUAAUGUAUGGGGAUCUGCCUGAUGGCGGGGGAUAACUACUGGAAACGGUAGCUAAUACCGCAUAAUGUCUACGGACCAAAGCGGGGGACCUCCGGGCCUCGCGCCAUCAGGUGAACCCAUAUGGGAUUAGCUUGUAGGUAAGGUAACGGCUUACCUAGGCGACGAUCCCUAGCUGGUCUGAGAGGAUGAUCAGCCACACUGGGACUGAGACACGGCCCAG